AUUGGCCGUACCACGUUGAGAAUGCCGGAUCUCACCUGAUCUGUGAAGCUAAGCAGGGCCAGGUGUGGUUAGCACUUGGAUGAGACCACUGGGAAUUGCUGGGUUUUCAGAUGACAACAUUCCAUAGGCCAGUC
rnacentral:rRNA from 1 species